rnacentral:rRNA from 1 species
UUAAGUUAUUAAGGGCGCACGGUGGAUGCCUUGGCACUAGAAGCCGAUGAAGGACGUUACUAACGACGAUAUGCUUUGGGGAGCUGUAAGUAAGCUUUGAUCCAGAGAUUUCCGAAUGGGGAAACCCAGCAUGAGUUAUGUCAUGUUAUCGAUAUGUGAAUACAUAGCAUAUCAGAAGGCACACCCGGAGAACUGAAACAUCUUAGUACCCGGAGGAAGAGAAAGAAAAUUCGAUUCCCUUAGUAGCGGCGAGCGAAACGGGAAGAGCCCAAACCAACAAGCUUGCUUGUUGGGGUUGUAGGACACUCUAUACGGAGUUACAAAGGACGACAUUAGACGAAUCAUCUGGAAAGAUGAAUCAAAGAAGGUAAUAAUCCUGUAGUCGAAAAUGUUGUCUCUCUUGAGUGGAUCCUGAGUACGACGGAGCACGUGAAAUUCCGUCGGAAUCUGGGAGGACCAUCUCCUAAGGCUAAAUACUCUCUAGUGACCGAUAGUGAACCAGUACCGUGAGGGAAAGGUGAAAAGCACCCCGGAAGGGGAGUGAAAUAGAACCUGAAACCGUGUGCUUACAAGUAGUCAGAGCCCGUUAAUGGGUGAUGGCGUGCCUUUUGUAGAAUGAACCGGCGAGUUACGAUUUGAUGCAAGGUUAAGCAGUAAAUGUGGAGCCGUAGCGAAAGCGAGUCUGAAUAGGGCGUUUAGUAUUUGGUCGUAGACCCGAAACCAGGUGAUCUACCCUUGGUCAGGUUGAAGUUCAGGUAACACUGAAUGGAGGACCGAACCGACUUACGUUGAAAAGUGAGCGGAUGAACUGAGGGUAGCGGAGAAAUUCCAAUCGAACCUGGAGAUAGCUGGUUCUCUCCGAAAUAGCUUUAGGGCUAGCCUCAAGUGAUGAUUAUUGGAGGUAGAGCACUGUUUGGACGAGGGGCCCCUCUCGGGUUACCGAAUUCAGACAAACUCCGAAUGCCAAUUAAUUUAACUUGGGAGUCAGAACAUGGGUGAUAAGGUCCGUGUUCGAAAGGGAAACAGCCCAGACCACCAGCUAAGGUCCCAAAAUAUAUGUUAAGUGGAAAAGGAUGUGGCGUUGCCCAGACAACUAGGAUGUUGGCUUAGAAGCAGCCAUCAUUUAAAGAGUGCGUAAUAGCUCACUAGUCGAGUGACACUGCGCCGAAAAUGUACCGGGGCUAAACAUAUUACCGAAGCUGUGGAUUGUCCUUUGGACAAUGGUAGGAGAGCGUUCUAAGGGCGUUGAAGCAUGAUCGUAAGGACAUGUGGAGCGCUUAGAAGUGAGAAUGCCGGUGUGAGUAGCGAAAGACGGGUGAGAAUCCCGUCCACCGAUUGACUAAGGUUUCCAGAGGAAGGCUCGUCCGCUCUGGGUUAGUCGGGUCCUAAGCUGAGGCCGACAGGCGUAGGCGAUGGAUAACAGGUUGAUAUUCCUGUACCACCUAUAAUCGUUUUAAUCGAUGGGGGGACGCAGUAGGAUAGGCGAAGCGUGCGAUUGGAUUGCACGUCUAAGCAGUAAGGCUGAGUAUUAGGCAAAUCCGGUACUCGUUAAGGCUGAGCUGUGAUGGGGAGAAGACAUUGUGUCUUCGAGUCGUUGAUUUCACACUGCCGAGAAAAGCCUCUAGAUAGAAAAUAGGUGCCCGUACCGCAAACCGACACAGGUAGUCAAGAUGAGAAUUCUAAGGUGAGCGAGCGAACUCUCGUUAAGGAACUCGGCAAAAUGACCCCGUAACUUCGGGAGAAGGGGUGCUCUUUAGGGUUAACGCCCAGAAGAGCCGCAGUGAAUAGGCCCAAGCGACUGUUUAUCAAAAACACAGGUCUCUGCUAAACCGUAAGGUGAUGUAUAGGGGCUGACGCCUGCCCGGUGCUGGAAGGUUAAGAGGAGUGGUUAGCUUCUGCGAAGCUACGAAUCGAAGCCCCAGUAAACGGCGGCCGUAACUAUAACGGUCCUAAGGUAGCGAAAUUCCUUGUCGGGUAAGUUCCGACCCGCACGAAAGGCGUAACGAUUUGGGCACUGUCUCAACGAGAGACUCGGUGAAAUCAUAGUACCUGUGAAGAUGCAGGUUACCCGCGACAGGACGGAAAGACCCCGUGGAGCUUUACUGUAGCCUGAUAUUGAAAUUCGGCACAGCUUGUACAGGAUAGGUAGGAGCCUUUGAAACGUGAGCGCUAGCUUACGUGGAGGCGCUGGUGGGAUACUACCCUAGCUGUGUUGGCUUUCUAACCCGCACCACUUAUCGUGGUGGGAGACAGUGUCAAGCGGGCAGUUUGACUGGGGCGGUCGCCUCCUAAAAGGUAACGGAGGCGCUCAAAGGUUCCCUCAGAAUGGUUGGAAAUCAUUCAUAGAGUGUAAAGGCAUAAGGGAGCUUGACUGCGAGACCUACAAGUCGAGCAGGGUCGAAAGACGGACUUAGUGAUCCGGUGGUUCCGCAUGGAAGGGCCAUCGCUCAACGGAUAAAAGCUACCCCGGGGAUAACAGGCUUAUCUCCCCCAAGAGUUCACAUCGACGGGGAGGUUUGGCACCUCGAUGUCGGCUCAUCGCAUCCUGGGGCUGUAGUCGGUCCCAAGGGUUGGGCUGUUCGCCCAUUAAAGCGGUACGCGAGCUGGGUUCAGAACGUCGUGAGACAGUUCGGUCCCUAUCCGUCGU